GACGAACGCUGGCGGCGUGCUUAACACAUGCCAGUCGAACGGUGAAGCGCCUUCCUUUUUGGUGGGUGUGGAUGAGUGGCGAACGGGUGAGUAACACGUGAGUAACCUGCCCCCUUCUUCUGGAUAACCGCAUGAAAGUGUGGCUAAUACGGGAUAUUCUGGGUCUGUCGCAUGAUGGGUCUGGGAAAGAUAUUGUUUCGGUGGGGGAUGGGCUCGCGGCCUAUCAGCUUGUUGGUGGGGUGAUGGCCUACCAAGGCGGUGACGGGUAGCCGGCCUGAGAGGGUGGACGGUCACACUGGGACUGAGACACGGCCCAGACUCCUACGGGAGGCAGCAGUGGGGAAUAUUGCGCAAUGGGCGCAAGCCUGAUGCAGCGACGCCGCGUGAGGGAUGGAGGCCUGCGGGUUGUGAACCUCUUUCGCCAGUGAAGCAGGCCUGCCUCGUUUGUGGGUGGGUUGACGGUAGCUGGAUAAGAAGCGCCGGCUAACUACGUG
rnacentral:rRNA from 1 species